UACGUAGGGACCGAGCGUUGUCCGGAAUCAUUGGGCGUAAAGAGUAUGUAGGCGGUUGCGUAAGUUUGGUGUGAAAUCUCCCGGCUUAACUGGGAGGGUGCGCCGAAAACUGCGUGGCUAGAGUGUGGGAGAGGAAAGCGGAAUUCCUGGUGUAGCGGUGAAAUGCGUAGAUAUCAGGAGGAACACCGGCGGUGUAGACGGCUUUCUGGACCAUUACUGACGCUGAGAUACGAAAGCGUGGGUAGCAAACAGG
rnacentral:rRNA from 1 species